rnacentral:lncRNA from 1 species
CAGGGCAAUACAGUCCACGUAUGUGGCCGGGAAACGUCGAAAUUCACAUGGCGCACUGACGGAAUGACAUCUGCGGUAAAAAAGUUGAGAGCAAUGCCACUUAUGAGCGGCAAACUUUUUUAAUGAUCUCUAUGUAAUUGCAAUCUUUUUUAAUGACACUCAUGUAAAAGCCUCCUGCAUUAACUUUUGAUCAACUACCGUGCCUACAUGAAAUAGGCUUGGUCAUGGCCAACCCAAGCAAGAGCACCACCAAUGCCCAUUGGAUGGAUUUUACUUAAACACAUGAGUUUAGCAUUCCUCGUAGGUACGUAUCUCCUAGCUUCUGCGACUGUAGUAGUACUCCGUAGGUAUCUCCUAGCUUCUGCGAGCAUUGCGUUCAGGAGACAGGCAUAUGACCAGGCACUGACACGGCGCCUCUGCACAAACUGCGAGGGCAUCCAAUAAUGUUCCAAACAACACCUGCAUCUUGGUCAAACUGAACCAUCAGUCCUAGUAUGUACGUAUGGUGCUGUACGCCUGUCCUGUACGUGACACAAUAUAUAUAUACGUAUGGAGUAUGUACAGUCGUACACGGUUUAACAUAUGCGUGAGCACUUGUCAAAAAAAAAAAAACAUAUGUGAGGUAUAAACGGCUAUUCGCACGCGCUGACACACCUACUACCAUUAGGUCUCGCUAGACCCUGCCCGUUAUUUCAGCUCAUGAAGCUGUCACAACAAGGUGAAACGUACAGCAAUACUCCCCGGCUCGGCCAUGGCAAGCGGCUAAAGAGGUUGGUCAA